rnacentral:tRNA from 2 species
AUUUACAUAAUAUAAAAAUUAUAUUUAACUUCCAAUUAAAAAAUCUAGAAAUAGUGUAAAUA